UAACCUGAAAUCAGGCGGGACUACCCGCUGAACUUAAGCAUAUCAAUAAGCGGAGGAAAAGAAAAUAACAAUGAUUCCCCUAGUAACGGCGAGUGAAGAGGGAAAAGCUCAAGUUUGGAAGCUUCGUGGCAUAGCUACGACGCGUUGUAAACUGAAGUUUUUUGGGUGAUUGGGCGACCGGAUAAAUAAGUCCUUUGGAAAGGGGCAACAUAGAGGGUGACAUUCCCGUCUUUGGUCCGAGUCAGUGCAGUCGCUGCCCAGGAAACGACGAGUCAGGUUGUUUGGGAAUGCAGCCUAAAAUGGGAGGUAAAUCUCUCCUAAAGCUAAAUACUGGCGUAAGACCGAUAGCGAACAAGUACCGUGAGG
rnacentral:rRNA from 1 species